rnacentral:tRNA from 1 species
GCUUCGUUAGCGUAGUUGGAUUAUCGCAUCCGUCUAAUACACGGUGCCUCAGUUAGAACUGAGUAUUACACAACGGAAGGUCACUGGUUCGAGCCCAGUACGGAGCA